rnacentral:lncRNA from 1 species
AGAGCGGCAGGCGCAGACCAGGGCAAGGAGCAAGACCGCGUCGUGGAGGCGAUGACCACGCCAAACAGCCAACCGUCAAGGUAAGUUUGUUGUUCCUGCUAUUGUACGUCUAGUGUUCUUAUCCAUGGAUGUGCAUGACGUGCUUGUUCAUCACUUUGUAUUAGUAAUUGGAGUAGAGCACAAGAGGUUUGUAGUGGUCAACUUCUGUUUGUUAGUUCAUGGCAAGAGAAAAAUAUUGGACUUUACUGCAUUACCUGAUUGGUAGUGGUCAAUUUCAGUUAGAUUAGACUGAUAUUUAUAUUGGUCAAUUUCAGUCAGAUUCCUCUUUGUACACAUGAACUGGUCUAUAGAUAUGCCUGUUAAUUAGUAAUUACUUUUUACAAAAUCAGUCUGCUCAUUUUUUUAAUUUUGGAUCAAGUGGGCUAUGAAUGAUUAAUAUAAAGCUAGAAUUUGUAUAGAUCAGACAAGAGAUUUGUUUCAAUUAAAGCAUGUGCUCAACUUGGUCCAUGUCAUGUGCUGAAGAAAGAUGUGACAGUCUAUGGCUUUAAUUAUUAGUUACUUUGGUUGUAAAAAGUGCAAUUUAGGUUCUGAAUUUGUACAGUUUAGACAGUCUGUACCUAGUUUCACUUUAACUAAAAUUGCAAUCAUUCAUCUAAUUCAUAUUACACAAUAAUUAAUUUGUUACUGAGUGUUUCUUCAUCAAUUGAAUCUUGCAUCAGGGGAUAGCAACUCCACUCUUUUGGCGGAAUUUCAAAGUGUUCUUGAUGAUGAUGAAGAAACUAUGGUAACAUAUUCCACUCAUUAUAGUUGAUUGGUUGUUUGCUUCCAUGAUAUUAGUUACUGUUUUUAUGAUCUCUGUUCACAGAAGGCGAAAGCAAAGCAAUGGAUCGGAUGUGGCGGGAUACUUAAUGCGUUAGCUAAGUUCGUGUCUAUCAUAACUGAAGCUUAGUCCAUGCGGUGAAGAAAGAAGAUGACAAGUAGAAGAACACCUUCUUUCAUUUAUAAUGAGAACUAUGAUGUACUUAUGUCUCUUGGUUGUAAGAAACUAAGACUGAGAAAUUAUGCUGGGCUAUUCCUAUGUCAUUUUGUAGCAAAGUAAGACAGAGAAAUUAUGUUGGGUUGUUCCUGCGUCAUUCUGUGAAAAACUAAGGCUGAGAAUCUCGUACUUGUGCUUACUUGAUGUUCUGCUAUGUCAUUUUAUGAGAAUCGGAGAGCUCAUUUCAUGUGUUGCACUUGUUUGAUGUCAUUUUGUGAGCAUUUGUGAAGGUAUUUAAUGUUGU